rnacentral:misc_RNA from 1 species
AAGUCGUAACAAGGUUUCCGUAGGUGAACCUGCGGAAGGAUCAUUAGAGAAUUGUACCAAAACAAUAUGGACAAUCCAUCCAUAUUAUCCCACCUUGUGUGCAUCCAUUGAAACCAUGCUUUGGGAGGUCUCUCUUUAAAAAAAAAUGAAGAGGGAUUUUAAGCCUCCCAAGGUUUUCCCUUGUACACUCUUUUUUCUUGUUUCUCCUGAAAAAAUAAAAUAAAAUAAAAUAAAACGAAAUAAAAAAAUACAACUUUCAACAACGGAUCUCUUGACUCUC